UACGAAGGGUGCAAGCGUUACUCGGAAUUACUGGGCGUAAAGCGUGCGUAGGUGGUGAGUUAAGUCUGUCGUGAAAGCCCCGGGCUCAACCUGGGAAUGGCGAUGGAUACUGGCUCGCUAGAGUGCGGUAGAGGAGAGUGGAAUUCCCGGUGUAGCAGUGAAAUGCGUAGAGAGUCGGGAGGAACAUCAGUUGCGAAGGCGGCUCUCUGGACCAGCACUGACACUGAGGCACGAAAGCGUGGG
rnacentral:rRNA from 1 species